GAGUUUGAUCGUGGCUCAGGAUGAACGCUGGCGGCGUGCUUAACACAUGCAAGUCGAACGAAGAGAUUUCGAAAGAGAGCUUCGGCAGGAUUUUGGAAUAUCUUAGUGGCGGACGGGUGAGUAACGUGUGGGCAACCUGCCGUAUACAGGGGGAUAAUCACUGGAAACGGUGACUAAUACCGCAUGUCAUCAUGGGAGGGCAUCCUUCUGUGAGAAAAGGAGCAAUCCGGUAUACGAUGGGCCCGCAUCUGAUUAGCUAGUUGGUGAGAUAAUAGCCCACCAAGGCAACGAUCAGUAGCCGACCUGAGAGGGUGAUCGG
rnacentral:rRNA from 1 species